rnacentral:rRNA from 1 species
CGGCGAGUGAAGCGGCAACAGCUCAAAUUUGAAAUCUGGCCCCCGGGUCCGAGUUGUAAUUUGUAGAGGAAGCUUUUGGUGCGGUACCUUCCGAGUUCCCUGGAACGGGACGCCAUAGAGGGUGAGAGCCCCGUCUGGUCGGAUACCAAUCCUCUGUAAAGCUCCUUCGACGAGUCGAGUAGUUUGGGAAUGCUGCUCUAAAUGGGAGGUAUAUGUCUUCUAAAGCUAAAUACCGGCCAGAGACCGAUAGCGCACAAGUAGAGUGAUCGAAAGAUGAAAAGCACUUUGAAAAGAGAGUUAAAAAGUACGUGAAAUUGUUGAAAGGGAAGCGCUCAUGACCAGACGUGGGCUUGGUUGAUCAACCUGGGUUCUCCCCGGUGCACUCUUCCUCGCCCAGGCCAGCAUCAGUUUGCUUCGGGGGAUAAAGGCGUCGGGAAUGUGGCUCCCCCGGGAGUGUUAUAGCCCGUCGUGCAAUACCCUGCGGCAGACUGAGGUUCGCGUUCCGCAAGGAUGCUGGCGUAAUGGUCAUCAGCGACCCGUCUUGAAACACGGACCAAGGAGUCGUCUUCGUAUGCGAGUGUUCGGGUGUUAAACCCCUACGCGAAAUGAAAGUGAACGUAGGUGAGAGCUUCGGCGCAUCACCGACCGAUCCUGAUGUUCUCGGAUGGAUUUGAGUAAGAGCAUACGGGGCCGGACCCGAAAGAAGGUGAACUAUGCCUGUAUAGGGUGAAGCCAGAGGAAACUCUGGUGGAGGCUCGCAGCGGUUCUGACGUGCAAAUCGAUCGUCAAAUAUGGGCA